rnacentral:misc_RNA from 1 species
CAACACUCAAGCUCUGCUUGGCGUUGGGGCUCUACGAUAUAGUAUCGUCGGCCCUCAAAAUCAGUGGCGGGACCGCUUGGGAACCGGGUGAAGUAGUGAUUACAACGCCAAGGUAUAUCGAGCUGGUUUCUAGCCGUAAAAAUGAUUUAUCAUUAAAG